rnacentral:rRNA from 1 species
GACGAACGCUGGCGGCGUGCUUAACACAUGCAAGUCGAACGGAAAGGCCUCUUUCGGGUUGUACUCGAGUGGCGAACGGGUGAGUAACACGUGAGUAACCUGCCCUUGACUUUGGGAUAACUUCAGGCAACUGGGGCUAAUACCGGAUAGGCUCUCCUGCUGCAUGUUUGGGGUUGGAACGUUUCGGCGGUUGGGUUUUGACUCGCGGGUUAUCCGCUUUUUUGUGGGGUAGUGGCUUACCAAGGCUUUGACGGGUAGCCGGCCUGAGAGGGUGACCGGCCAAAAUGGGACCGAGAUACGACCCAGACUGCUACGGGAGGCAGCAGAGGGGAAUAUUGCAAAACGGGUGGAAGGCUGAUGCAGCAACGCCGUGUGCGGGAUGACGGCCUUCGUGUUGUAAACCGCUUUCGAGCAUGACGAAGCUUUGUGUGACGGUAGUGGGUAAAGAAGCACCGGCUAACUACGUG